GCGUGGGAAUCUGCCCUUGGGUUCGGAAUAACUUCUGGAAACGGAAGCUAAUACCGGAUGAUGACGUAAGUCCAAAGAUUUAUCGCCCAAGGAUGAGCCCGCGUAGGAUUAGCUAGUUGGUGGGGUAAAGGCCCACCAAGGCGACGAUCCUUAGCUGGUCUGAGAGGAUGAUCAGCCACACUGGGACUGAGACACGGCCCAGACUCCUACGGGAGGCAGCAGUAGGGAAUAUUGGACAAUGGGCGAAAGCCUGAUCCAGCAAUGCCGCGUGAGUGAUGAAGGCCUUAGGGUUGUAAAGCU
rnacentral:rRNA from 1 species